GAUGAACGCUAGCUACAGGCUUAACACAUGCAAGUCGAGGGGCAUCAGGAAGAAAGCUUGCUUUCUUUGCUGGCGACCGGCGCACGGGUGAGUAACACGUAUCCAACCUGCCCUUUACUCGGGGAUAGCCUUUCGAAAGAAAGAUUAAUACCCGAUGGCAUAAUGAUUCCGCAUGGUUUCAUUAUUAAAGGAUUCCGGUAAAGGAUGGGGAUGCGUUCCAUUAGGUUGUUGGUGAGGUAACGGCUCACCAAGCCUUCGAUGGAUAGGGGUUCUGAGAGGAAGGUCCCCCACAUUGGAACUGAGACACGGUCCAAACUCCUACGGGAGGCAGCAGUGAGGAAUAUUGGUCAAUGGGCGCUAGCCUGAACCAGCCAAGUAGCGUGAAGGAUGAAGGCUCUAUGGGUCGUAAACUUCUUUUAUAUAAGAAUAAAGUGCAGUAUGUAUACUGUUUUGUAUGUAUUAUAUGAAUAAGGAUCGGCUAACUCCGUGCCAGCAGCCGCGGUAAUACGGAGGAUCCGAGCGUUAUCCGGGUUUAUUGGGUUUAAAGGGAGCGUAGGUGGACUGGUAAGUCAGUUGUGAAAGUUUGCGGCUCAACCGUAAAAUUGCAGUUGAUACUGUCAGUCUUGAGUACAGUAGAGGUGGGCGGAAUUCGUGGUGUAGCGGUGAAAUGCUUAGAUAUCACGAAGAACUCCGAUUGCGAAGGCAGCUCACUGGACUGCAACUGACACUGAUGCUCGAAAGUGUGGGUAUCANACAGG
rnacentral:rRNA from 1 species